rnacentral:rRNA from 1 species
UUCGAUUCUGUCCAGAUUGAACGCUGGCGGGAUGUUUUACACAUGCAAGUCGAACGCUUGCCUGGACUUCUAGUCUGGUGGCGAGUAACCCGAACGGGUGAAGUAAUGUAUCGGAACGUGCCUAGUAGCGGGGAUAACUACGAAAGCGUAGCUAAUACCGCAUACGCCCUUCGGGGAAAGCGGGGGACCUUCGGGCCUCGCGCACUAUUGAAACGGCCGAUAUCGGAUUAGCUAGUUGGUGGGGUAACGGCUCACCGGGCGACGAUCCGUGGCUGGUUUGAGAGGACGACCAGCUACACUGGGACUGAGACCUGGCCCAGACUCCUACGGGAGGCAGCAGUAGAAUUUUGGACAAUGGGGGAAACCCUGAUCCAGCCAUCCCGCGUGUGCGAUGAAGGCCUUCGGGUUGUAAAGCACUUUUGGCAGGAAAGAAACGGCACGGGAUAAUGCCCGUGCAACUGACAGUACCUGCAGAAUAAGCACCGGCUAACUACGUGCCAGCAGCCGCAAUGUCACGUAAGUGCAAGCGUUAAUCGGAAUACCUGGGCGUAAAGCGUGCGCAGGCGGUUCAGAAGAUGCCUCAAAAUCCCAGAGCUUAACUUUGGAACUGCAUUUUUAACUACCGAGCUAGAGUGUGUCAGAGGAAGUGGAAUUCCGCGACAGCAGUGAAAUGCGUAGAUAUGCCAGAGAAGACACCGAUGGCGAAGGCUUAGCCUCGCAGGAUAACACUGACGCUCAUGCACGGAAGCGUGGGGAGCAAACAGGAUUAGAUACCCUGGUAGUCCACGCCCUAAACGAUGUCAACUAGCUGUUAGAGCCUUCGGGCCUUGGUAGCGCAGCUAACGCGUGAAGUUGACCGCCUGGGAAGUACGGUCGCAAGAUUAAAACUCAAAGGAAUUGACGGGGGACCGCACAAGCGGUGGAUGAUGUGGAUUAAUUCGAUGCAGCAUGAAAAACCUUACCUACCCUUGACAUGUCUAGAGAUCCCGAAAGAGAGAUUUGGGAGUGUCAUAAGCCGGAACACGGGUGCUGCAUGGCUGUCGUCAAGCUCGUGUCGUGAGAUGUUGGGUUAGAGAUCCCGCAGCAGGCGCAACCCUUGUCAUUAGUUGCUACGAAAGAACUGCUCACAAUGAGACUGCCGGUGACAAACCGGAGGAAGGUGGGGAUGACGUCCCAAGUCCUCAUGGCCCAUAUGGGUAGGGCUUCACACGUCAUACAAUGGUCGGGACCAGAGGGUCGCCAGCCGCGAGGAGGGGCAAUCGAAACCAAGUCGUAGUCCGGAUCGCAGUCUGCAACUCGACGCUGCGUGAAGUCGGAAUCGCUAGUAAUCGCGGAUCAGCAUGUCCUUACAGUGAAUACGUUCGGGUCUUGUACUACCGCCCGUCACACCAUAGGUAGGUUUUACCGAAGUAGUUGGCCUAACCGUAAGGAGGGCGAUUACCACGGUAGGAUUCAUGACUGGGGCGAAGUCGUAACAAGGUAGCCCCUGUUAUUACUACCUGAUGCUGG